CCGUGAGGGAAAGGUGAAAAGAACCUCGAACAGAGGAGUGCAAUAGAUCCUGAACCCGUCUGCCUACAAGCGGUAGGAGCAGCUUCGAGCUGUGACUGCGUGCCUUUUGCAUAAUGAACCUACGAGUUACUUUCUCUGGCAAGGUUAAGUGAUGAAGAGUCACGUGAGCCGAAGCGAAAGCGAGUCUGAAUAGGGCGAAUUAGUCAGAGGGAGUAGACGCGAAACCAAGUGAUCUACCCUUGGUCAGGUUGAAGGUUGGGUAAAACCAACUGGAGGACCGCACCGGUAAGCGUUGAAAAGCUUUCGGAUGAACUGAGGGUAGGGGUGAAAGGCUAAUCAAACUUGGAGAUAGCUCGUACUCCCCGAAAUGCAUUUAGGUGCAGCCUGUGGAGUUUCUUACGUGAGGUAGAGCGACUGAUUGGAUGCGAGGCUUUCACCGGCUAUCAAGUCCAGACAAACUCCGAAUGCACGUUAAGUAAGAUCCACGGAGUGAGGGCAUGGGUGCUAAGGUCCAUGUCCGAGAGGAGAAGAAUCCAGACCAUCGGCUAAGGUCCCGAAAUAAUAGCUAAGUUGACCAAACGAAGUCAGAGUGCGAAGACAGCUAGGAUGUUGGCUUGGAAGCAGCCAUUCAUUUAAAGAGUGCGUAACAGCUCACUAGUCGAGUGCUUUGGCGUGGAUAAUAAUCGGGCAUAAGCUAUUUACCGAAGCUGUGGGAUGUGUAAACAUCGGUAGGGGAGCAUUCUAGCGACGCUGAAGGUGAGAGGACAACUCUUGCUGGAGUUUCUAGAAAAGCAAAUGUAGGUAUAAGUAACGAUAAAGGAGGUGAGAAACCUCCUCGCCGAAAGACUAAGGGUUCCUGAUCAACGCUAAUCGGAUCAGGGUUAGUCGGGGCCUAAGGGGAAGCCGAAGGGCGUACCCGAUGGAAGAACCGGUUAAUAUUCCGGUACUAAUUAUGUGAGCGAUGUGGAGACGGAGAUGUGACGGUCCUGCCAACUGACGGAAUAGUUGGUUGAAGGGUGUAGGAGUUGAUCUGAGUAGGCAAAUCCGCUCGGAGAUCCGAACCUGACAGUACUCUGAGUGCUUGCACAAGGAGAUAUGGACAACUGUAACGGUGCUCCCAAGAAAAUCCGCUAAGCAUAUUGCAUAAUUACCCGUACCACAAACCGACACAGGUGGUUGGGUUGAGUAUACUAAGGCGCUCGAGUGAUUCGCGGUUAAGGAACUAGGCAAAAUAGUCCUGUAACUUCGGAAUAAAGGACGCUCACAGUGAAGGCUGUGAGCCGCAGAGAAUAGGCCCAGGCGACUGUUUAACAAAAACACAUGGCUAUGCUAAAUCGAAAGAUACUGUAUAUAGCCUGACACCUGCCCGGUGCUGGAAGGUUAAGAGGAGAUGUCAUCGCAAGAGAAGCAUUGAAUUGAAGCCCCAGUAAACGGCGGCCGUAACUAUAACGGUCCUAAGGUAGCGAAAUUCCUUGUCGGGUAAGUUCC
rnacentral:rRNA from 1 species